UGACAGACACGGUGUUGGAUCGCUGCCUCCAGGCGCUGGCGGGGAUUGUGAUUAGUCCUUGCUGCUACGGGUUCAUUCAAAACACACUCAAGUUCAACUUUCCCAAGAGGAGUAUACGAUCCUGUGCAGGUUCACAGACCAGACGGCUGUCAGUUUACUCUGCAGAACGACAAUUAAUUGUUGGUGAGAUGACAGCCUUUCAGCCUCUUCACAAAACACAUGCUAACCAGCACCGAUUCCUCUGCCAUGUCAGUCAAAGCCAAGACUUUGCAAAAGCUUUCAAAGACAGAUAUCUUUGCGUUGAGAUGAGCUGUUAAUUACAGUUUGAUAAGAUGGUAAAGUUUGUUUUAAAGUCGUUAGUGCGUUUUCAAAAGGCACUGCUUAAAGUUUCACUGUUUUAUCCCCUGAGAUAACAGUCUCUUUAAAGAAAUGUCUUUUAUUAAAGUCAUUUGAAAUUCCACUUUUAAAAAAGUUUCAAAUUAAUUUAUUAAAUGAGAUCUUUCUUUUCAUCAAAUAAUCCUGAAAAAAAAAAUGUAUCAUGGUUUCAAAAUUAGAAGCACAACUGUUUUUAACAUUGAUAAUUCUGAAGGAUUUGACAUUGAAUAAACUUUUUAAAUAAAUAUAUAAAAUAGAAAUCAAUGUUAUUUUUAAUUGUAAAAAUAACUCCUAUUUUUACUGCAUUUUUUUUUUUUAUCAAAUAAAGGCAGCCUUGGUAAACAUUUGAAAUCCUUUAAAAAAAAAUAUUACCAGUCAGAAUUUA
rnacentral:lncRNA from 1 species